ACACACACGCGCGCGCGCGCGCGCACAAGCUUGCAUGCAUACAUUUGGUUCUCUUACUUGAUUGGGGCAAACUAGUUGUUGUUUGCGAUGUGAAAGUUACAUACAAAUGUGCGCUGAUACUGGCAGCACCAACAUAGGAGAGCUCCUCCAUCAGUGGGUGGUCUCAUAUCCCAUCGACUCUCGAAGCAUUAUUGUUGCCAUUAACUAUUAAGACUAGCCAUGAAUUAUAUAGAUACUGACUUUCUGAGUGUAUUUGUUCAUUUUACUUUUAUUAUUUAACCUGACAUGAUUUCAUAAUGCAAUCUCUUACAUGCCUGGGGCAAACUAGAUAAUGUUUGUAAAUUUCUAAUUAAAUAUGACAUAAAUGCUCAUUGAUGUUGAUGUUGUUCCUUUGGGAAGGUCCACAAUCAAUGGGGUGGCCUCGUAUUCCAUUGCGUUUGGGAGCAGCAUUGCUGCCAUUACCCAUUGGGACUGGUCACGAGACAUUUUUUUUUUCUUUCUUUCGUUAUAGUAGGUUAUGAGAGCUUAAUGCAUGCAUUGAUUGGAUCAGGUGAACCAUGAGGACUUCAAUGAAGGUAUAAUACAGGUCCAAGCGAAGAAGAAAGCA
rnacentral:misc_RNA from 1 species